CUACGGACUUAAAAUCCGUCGACUUUAAAAAUCGUGAGGGUUCAAGUCCCUCUAUCCCCA
rnacentral:tRNA from 1 species